UUUUUGAUACACGAAUUGUUCUCAAGAUUGUCCUGAAAUGCCUUGUUUGUUGUCAUUCUAGUUAGACAAGUAAUCAGCCUUGAGCUGCACAGUAUUUUAACUAAGACAUUUGGUUUUUUUCCCUUUUCUUUCUUUCUUUUUUUCCCCUCUCGGGUGUUUAGAACUACAAGAGAUUUGUUUUUCUAAUUGCUUAGUUGCAGUUAGGUGGAACCUACAUAUUAUUUUUUUUUCUGCUGCAGAAUUUUUAUCAUGUGGAAUUAAGCAAGUACCUUGCCUUAGUCCAUUUUUUCUUGCUUAUAACAGAAUACCUGAAACUGGGUAAUUUAUUUUAAAAAAUGCUUUUAUUUCUUACAGUUCUGGAGGCUGAGGAGCCCCAGGUUGAGGGGCUUCAUCUGGUGAGAGCCUUCUUGCUGGUGGAGACUCUGAAGAGUCCCGAAGUGGUGUGGGGAAACAUAUGAGCUCAGAGAUCCCAAGAGGCAAAGCGGGGAAAGUUUUAGAAAUCAUUUCACUCUGGAAAGCUUUCAGAUCACAGAUUCCUGCUCAUAAGUGGAUAAAUGAUGCAGUAAAAUUGAACAAACACAGCUCGUCCUACAUUCUGAAGAUGGGGCACAUUUAUCAGAAGAGAAAAACUGCCAGAGAGAAUUCACAUCAGUGCAGACCGAGAGUCUCAGAUGGCUAAGAGAUGUGCCUGACAACUUUUCAGAAAUAAGACUAUUAAAAGAAGGUCAGCUUGGAGUCUUACUGCGAAGAAUUAUAAACAGGCACGUGGAUUAUAAAUAGGGAGUUGGCAUGGUGGUUAAAUUUUUCUAAAACAGUCAUAUUAAUGUGUUCAAAAAUCCACUGCUGAGUCUCAGAGAGAGGGUCACAUCUGGCCAUGAAAAUCUUCUUCUCUGCGGGGUUGCAAUCCAUGCAGCUGUUGCUCACAGGAUGGAAUAAUGUUCUGUCCUGGAGGAGUGAGGAAGAAAAGAAAAGACUGUUGUAAUACGUGGUGAAUGGUUACAACCCAAAAUAUACAGAAGUAAGAUAUUUCUGUUUAUAUUUCAGUAUAUAUUUAUUGUGUAAAUAGAACAGCUCCCAAAUCAAACAAUAGCAGGUGGAGUUGCCCAUGUGGAAUGUGAAUUUGUAGGCUGUAUUGGCACUAUGUAGGGCCUACAAGCAGGUUCAAUUAGAGACAAUAAAUGUAUUUAUUCAUUCAAUCAUCCACUUCUUUUAAAAAAGCAAUCCAUUCAUUUUCUGCUCUGUGGUGAGCUUUUUGCUAUCUGCUUAAAUUUUGAAAAUAGUAAGUAUAUGGGGUUGCUUGGCAAGUAACCAAUAAUGUAGCUAUCUGGGAAGAAACACAUACACAAAAAAUUGUAUUUUAGUCCGCAGUAAAUAAUACCCCCUGCUCACACGCACACACAAUGACUAGAAGAGUCAUAAUUCCCU
rnacentral:lncRNA from 1 species